UUUAGGAAUUUACUGAACGUUUAGCUGCUCGUUCUCAUGUAGUAAUGGAUCAUUUCAGUACUGUAAGGGCAAAAGUGCUCACAGCUUGCCAAUCAAGAGACACUGACAACCUAGAAGGAGAAGAGAAUGUAGAAGAAAAAGAAGAGACGUCAUAUGGUUCUCUAAUGAUUGAGAGGUUAACUGGAAGUGAAGGACGGAUAGAUCAUGUACUUCAGGUGUGUAAUUAUACUGUCUGAUGUUAUCUGAUUUCAUUUUAAUUUCCCUUUAGUCUCUGUGUGUGUGUGCAUGCAUGCAUUGGUGUAUGCCUGUGAAAAUGAGACUGCACGUGAACUGUGGUUAAUACACUUUACUGCUAGCAGUUAUUGAUUCUUUAGUUUUGUUUUGUCAGUUGUCACUACUGUGAUGUAUGCCUGUGAAAAUGAGACUGCACAUGAACUUUGGUUAA